CCUACGGGACGCAGCAGUAGGGAAUCUUUCACAAUGGGCGAAAGCCUGAUGGAGCAACGCCGCGUGCAGGAUGAAGGCCUUCGGGUUGUAAACUGCUUUUAUAAGCGAGAAAUAUGAUGGUAACUUAUGAAUAAGGAUCGGCUAACUACGUGCCAGCAGCCGCGGUAAUACGUAUGGUGCAAGCGUUAUCCGGAUUUACUGGGUGUAAAGGGAGCGCAGGCGGUGCGGCAAGUCUGAUGUGAAAGCCCGGGGCUCAACCCCGGGACUGCAUUGGAAACUACCGAACUAGAGUGUCGGAGAGGUAA
rnacentral:rRNA from 1 species